GACGAACGCUGGCGGCGUGCUUAACACAUGCAAGUCGAACGGAAAGGCCCUGCUUUUGUGGGGUGCUCGAGUGGCGAACGGGUGAGUAACACGUGAGUAACCUGCCCUUGACUUUGGGAUAACUUCAGGAAACUGGGGCUAAUACCGGAUAGGAGCUCCUGCGGCAUGGUGGUGGUUGGAAAGUUUCGGCGGUUGGGGAUGGACUCGCGGCUUAUCAGCUUGUUGGUGGGGUAGUGGCUUACCAAGGCUUUGACGGGUAGCCGGCCUGAGAGGGUGACCGGCCACAUUGGGACUGAGAUACGGCCCAGACUCCUACGGGAGGCAGCAGUGGGGAAUAUUGCACAAUGGGCGGAAGCCUGAUGCAGCAACGCCGCGUGCGGGAUGACGGCCUUCGGGUUGUAAACCGCUUUCGCCUGUGACGAAGCGUGAGUGACGGUAAUGGGUAAAGAAGCACCGGCUAACUACGUG
rnacentral:rRNA from 1 species